rnacentral:tRNA from 2 species
UGUGAGGUAGAGCAGUGGUAGCUCGAAGGUCUCAUAAACCUUAGGUCGGCAGUUCGAAUCUGUCCCUCGCAA